rnacentral:rRNA from 1 species
GUUGUAUAGUCAAGUAAUUAAGUGCAUGUGGUGGAUGCCUUGGCAGUCAGAGGCGAUGAAAGACGUGAUAGCCUGCGAAAAGCUCCGGGGAGGCGGCAAAUAUCCUUUGAUCCGGAGAUGUCUGAAUGGGGGAACCCACCUACUUUAAGGUAGGUAUUGCAACAUGAAUACAUAGUGUUGCAAGGCGAACGAGGGGAAGUGAAACAUCUCAGUACCCUUAGGAAAAGAAAUCAAUUGAGAUUCCCUCAGUAGCGGCGAGCGAACGGGGGUCAGCCCAUUAAGUUAUGUGUGUUUUAGUGGAACGCUCUGGGAAGUGCGAACGUAGAGGGGGAUAUUCCCGUACACGAAAGGGCACACAUAAUGAUGACGAGUAGGGCGAGGCACGUGAAACCUUGUCUGAAUAUGGGGGGACCAUCCUCCAAGGCUAAAUACUCCUGACUGACCGAUAGUGAACCAGUACCGUGAGGGAAAGGCGAAAAGAACCCCUGUGAGGGGAGUGAAAUAGAUCCUGAAACCGCAUGCAUACAAGCAGUGGGAGCACCUUCGUGGUGUGACUGCGUACCUUUUGUAUAAUGGGUCAGCGACUUAUAUUCAGUAGCGAGGUUAACCGUAUAGGGGAGCCGUAGAGAAAUCGAGUCUUAAUAGGGCGUUUAGUUGCUGGGUAUAGACCCGAAACCAGGCGAUCUAUCCAUGAGCAGGUUGAAGGUUGGGUAACACUAACUGGAGGACCGAACCCACUGUCGUUGAAAAGCCAGGGGAUGACUUGUGGAUAGGGGUGAAAGGCUAAUCAAGCCUGGUGAUAGCUGGUUCUCCCCGAAAGCUAUUUAGGUAGCGCCUCGGACGAAUACCAUAGGGGGUAGAGCACUGUUUCGGCUAGGGGGUCAUCCCGACUUACCAAACCGAUGCAAACUCCGAAUACCUAUGAGUACUAUCCGGGAGACAGACUGCGGGUGCUAACGUCCGUAGUCAAGAGGAAAACAAUCCAGACCGCCAGCUAAGGCCCCAAAAUCAUAGUUAAGUGGGAAACGAUGUGGGAAGGCAUAGACAGCUAGGAGGUUGGCUUAGAAGCAGCCACCCUUUAAAGAAAGCGUAAUAGCUCACUAGUCGAGUCGGCCUGCGCGGAAGAUGUAACGGGGCUAAAACUAUGUGCCGAAGCUGCGGAUGUA